rnacentral:lncRNA from 1 species
CCUGCAUCCCGAAUAUGACUCUGGAUAUGGAAUGAUGUCAAAUUUAAUAUCAUAUUUAUAUUUUUCUUAAUCUUUAAUGAUAAUUCAUUAAUGAAAUAUUAAAAAUUCUUUCUAAUUUUUGUCUCGCUUUGAUCAAAAGCUUCCUAAAUCAUUAAUUGAUCAGAGCAAGUAGGAUGCGAUCUCCUCUCACCAGGAGUGAUCGAUUCC